GAUGAAGAACGUAGCGAAAUGCGAUAAGUAAUGUGAAUUGCAGAAUUCAGUGAAUCAUCGAAUCUUUGAACGCACAUUGCGCCCGCCAGUAUUCUGGCGGGCAUGCCUGUUCGAGCGUCAUUUCAACCCUCAAGCCCCCGGGCUUGGUGUUGGGGAUCGGCGUGCCCUCGCGGCGCGCCGUCCCCUAAAUCUAGUGGCGGUCUCGCUGUAGCUUCCUCUGCGUAGUAGCAACACUCGCACUGGAUCGCAGCGCGGCCACGCCGUGGGGGGGCGCGCUUCUGAAAGUUUGACCUCGGAUCAGGUAGGAAUACCCGCUGAACUUAAGCAUAUCAAUAAGCGGAGGA
rnacentral:misc_RNA from 1 species